rnacentral:rRNA from 1 species
UACGUAGGGGGCAAGCGUUGUCCGGAAUCAUUGGGCGUAAAGAGCGUGUAGGCGGUCCGGUCAGUCGGUUGUGAAAGUCAAGGGCUCAACCCUUGAAUGCCGGCCGAUACUGCCGGGCUAGGGUCCGGAAGAGGUGAGUGGAAUUCCUGGUGUAGCGGUGAAAUGCGCAGAUAUCAGGAGGAACACCGAUGGCGAAGGCAGCUCACUGGGACGGUACUGACGCUGAGACGCGAAAGCGUGGGGAGCAAACAGG